AUACCGCAUAAGCCCACGGGUCGGCAUCGACCAGAGGGAAAAGGAGCAAUCCGCUUUGAGAUGGCCUCGCGUCCGAUUAGCUAGUUGGUGAGGUAACGGCCCACCAAGGCGACGAUCGGUAGCCGGACUGAGAGGUUGAACGGCCACAUUGGGACUGAGACACGGCCCAGACUCCUACGGGAGGCAGCAGUGGGGAAUAUUGCACAAUGGGGGAAACCCUGAUGCAGCGACGCCGCGUGGAGGAAGAAGGUCUUCGGAUUGUAAACUCCUGUUGUUGAGGAAGAUAAUGACGGUACUCAACAAGGAAGUGACGGCUAACUACGUGCCAGCAGCCGCGGUAAAACGUAGGUCACAAGCGUUGUCCGGAAUUACUGGGUGUAAAGGGAGCGCAGGCGGGAAGACAAGUUGGAAGUGAAAUCCAUGGGCUUAACCCAUGAACUGCUUUCAAAACUGUUUUUCUUGAGUAGUGCAGAGGUAGGCGGAAUUCCCGGUGUAGCGGUGGAAUGCGUAGAUAUCGGGAGGAACACCAGUGGCGAAGGCGGCCUACUGGGCACCAACUGACGCUGAGGCUCGAAAGUGUGGGUAGCGAACAGGAUUAGAUACCCUGGUAGUCCACACCGUAAACGAUGAUUACUAGGUGUUGGAGGAUUGACCCCUUCAGUGCCGCAGUUAACACAAUAAGUAAUCCACCUGGGGAGUACGACCGCAAGGUUGAAACUCAAAGGAAUUGACGGGGGCCCGCACAAGCAGUGGAGUAUGUGGUUUAAUUCGACGCAACGCGAAGAACCUUACCAAGUCUUGACAUCCUGUGACAGACGUAGAAAUACGUUCUUCCUUCGGGACACAGAGACAGGUGGUGCAUGGUUGUCGUCAGCUCGUGUCGUGAGAUGUUGGGUUAAGUCCCGCAACGAGCGCAACCCUUAUGGUCAGUUACUACGCAAGAGGACUCUGGCCAGACUGCCGUUGACAAAACGGAGGAAGGUGGGGAUGACGUCAAAUCAUCAUGCCCUUUAUGACUUGGGCUACACACGUACUACAAUGGCGUUAAACAAAGAGAAGCAAGACCGCGAGGUGGAGCAAAACUCAGAAACAACGUCCCAGUUCGGACUGCAGGCUGCAACUCGCCUGCACGAAGUCGGAAUUGCUAGUAAUCGUGGAUCAGCAUGCCACGGUGAAUACGUUCCCGGGCCUUGUACACACCGCCCGUCACACCAUGAGAGCCGGGGGGACCCGAAGUCGGUAGUCUAACCGCAAGGAGGACGCCGCCGAAGGUAAAACUGGUGAUUGGGGUGAAGUCGUAACAAGGU
rnacentral:rRNA from 1 species